UACAGAGGUCUCAAGCGUUGUUCGGAUUCAUUGGGCGUAAAGGGUGCGUAGGCGGCGCGGUAAGUCGGAUGUGAAAUCUCGGAGCUUAACUCCGAAACUGCAUUCGAUACUGCCGUGCUUGAGGACUGGAGAGGAGACUGGAAUUUACGGUGUAGCGGUGAAAUGCGUAGAUAUCGUAAGGAAGACCAGUGGCGAAGGCGGGGUCUCUGGACAGUUCCUGACGCUGAGGCACGAAGGCCAGGGGAGCAAAACGGG
rnacentral:rRNA from 1 species